rnacentral:rRNA from 1 species
CGGUUGCGUUGCGAGUGGCGAACGGGUGAGUAACACGUGGGAACCUGUCGCGCGGUGGGGGAUAACGCUGGGAAACCGGCGCUAAUACCGCAUACGGUCGCCCGAAAGGGUGAAGAAAGCCGAAAGGCACCGUGCGAGGGGCCCGCGGCCGAUUAGUUAGUUGGUGGGGUAAAGGCCUACCAAGGCAUCGAUCGGUAGCUGGUCUGAGAGGAUGUCCAGCCACACUGGGACUGAGACACGGCCCAG